AUUGAACGCUGGCGGCAGGCUUAACACAUGCAAGUCGAGCGGGGUGAUGGUGCUUGCACUAUCACUUAGCGGCGGACGGGUGAGUAAUGCUUAGGAAUCUGCCUAUUAGUGGGGGACAACAUCUCGAAAGGGAUGCUAAUACCGCAUACGUCCUACGGGAGAAAGCAGGGGAUCACUUGUGACCUUGCGCUAAUAGAUGAGCCUAAGUCGGAUUAGCUAGCUGGUGGGGUAAAGGCCUACCAAGGCGACGAUCUGUAGCGGGUCUGAGAGGAUGAUCCGCAACACUGGGACUGAGACACGGCCCAGACUCCUACGGGAGGAAGCAGUGGGGAAUAUUGGACAAUGGGGGGAACCCUGAUCCAGCCAUGCCGCGUGUGUGAAGAAGGCCUUAUGGUUGUAAAGCACUUUAAGCGAGGAGGAGGCUCUUUUGGUUAAUACCCAAGAUGAGUGGACGUUACUCGCAGAAUAAGCACCGGCUAACUCUGUGCCAGCCGCCGCGGUAA
rnacentral:rRNA from 1 species